CUGUGAUUUUGACUGCAGA
rnacentral:miRNA from 1 species